CUCCGAAAAGGUAAACCCUGUGGAAGCAGGGGGCACAAAGCUACGAAUCCUUCAAAAGGAUGGUCGGGCUGCCGAAG
rnacentral:ncRNA from 1 species